AAGACCUGCUAGUGAGCUUUCCUGGGCUCAGGUUGUCACCACCUGGAGUCACUGAGAGUGAAGGUUACACCUAUGGAGCCGUGGCCCCGACUACCAACACUUUGGGGCACAACCUGAAGACCCUCACAGUCAACGUCACCAUCUCUACCCUCCGGUAUUUAUCA